AUCAGAUUGGCCAUCUUUCAUAUCAAUUGUCAUUGCGAACCCAACAUCCACCAAAUUUGUUUUAUCCUCUCUGUUGUCCUUCCUAUCACUGAUGGUAUUUGCUUCAAGAAGUUUACCACCAUUGCCAUCAGGCUGCUUCCUCUUCUUCUUUGAGUUAAUGCUGUUUUCAUGUUUAGCUUUUUUAGACUCCACUGCACCACCAUUUUCUGUCCUAUGAGGAAUGUCAUUCUUCUGAGCAUCUUCUGAUGCUACUACAACCUUCACGUCUGUUUUCUUCUUAAGAGCAGAUAAGAGACAACUAUCUUCAUCAUCGCUUUCCUGCAAUAUAUCCUCAUUUUCUGACUCACUUACUUGGUACUUCUUCCUAAGCCUUUUAUGGCCGCCUUUGUUGUUGAUAA
rnacentral:misc_RNA from 1 species